rnacentral:rRNA from 40 species
UUAAAUUGAAGAGUUUGAUCAUGGCUCAGAUUGAACGCUGGCGGCAGGCCUAACACAUGCAAGUCGAACGGUAGCACAGAGAGC